rnacentral:rRNA from 1 species
UACGUAGGGGGCAAGCGUUGUCCGGAUUUAUUGGGCGUAAAGAGCGUGUAGGCGGCUUGGUAGGUCCGCUGUGAAAACUCGAGGCUCAACCUCGAGAUGUCGGCGGAAACCACUUGGCUAGAGUCCGGAAGAGGAGAGUGGAAUUCCUGGUGUAGCGGUGAAAUGCGCAGAUAUCAGGAAGAACACCUAUGGCGAAGGCAGCUCUCUGGAACGGUACUGACGCUGAGACGCGAAAGCGUGGGGAGCGAACAGG